rnacentral:rRNA from 1 species
GAUGAACGCUGGCGGCGUGCCUAAUACAUGCAAGUCGAGCGAACAGACGAGGAGCUUGCUCCUCUGACGUUAGCGGCGGACGGGUGAGUAACACGUGGAUAACCUACCUAUAAGACUGGGAUAACUUCGGGAAACCGGAGCUAAUACCGGAUAAUAUAUUGAACCGCAUGGUUCAAUAGUGAAAGACGGUUUUGCUGUCACUUAUAGAUGGAUCCGCGCCGCAUUAGCUAGUUGGUAAGGUAACGGCUUACCAAGGCAACGAUGCGUAGCCGACCUGAGAGGGUGAUCGGCCACACUGGAACUGAGACACGGUCCAGACUCCUACGGGAGGCAGCAGUAGGGAAUCUUCCGCAAUGGGCGAAAGCUUGACGGAGCAACGCCGCGUGAGUGAUGAAGGUCUUCGGAUCGUAAAACUCUGUUAUUAGGGAAGAACAAAUGUGUAAGUAACUGUGCACGUCUUGACGGUACCUAAUCAGAAAGCCACAGCUAACUACGUG